rfam:Triticum urartu cultivar G1812 contig70287, whole genome shotgun sequence.
AAUAACAAUUGUUUAAUCGUGGCAAAGUUAGAACGUUAUCUGGUAGUUUUACUCAUGCAAGUCGAAUGAUUUUAAUAAAAAUCAUGGCGUACAGGCGAGGAAAAAUAAGUACAUACCCUUAGUUUACGUUAAUAGCCAGUCAACUUUUAAGAGAGUAGACUGGCCAGUCUACUUUUAACACAGUAGACUAUUAACGGUCAACUCUUAAAAAGAAGACCAAAAAAAAAAGAAAAUUUUUCGUCUAAGGAUUGGCUUUAUAUCUAGCAGGUAGUUGGAGUGGUAAAGGCGCUCCAAGCCGAUGACGGAUAGGAAAUAGCGAAAGCUUCAAUUCCCGCAAUUGGUUUGAGAAUAACCGAUGGUGUCUUUAAGACAUGCUGCAGAGGAGGAUCUUGGGCAAUGCUCGAAAGAGUGACCCAGCUAACCAGAACUCUAUAAGAGUGUCGUAAGGGAGGAUAAUGACGUUACCUUACUAAUAGUCCAAUCUAAGUCUCGUGCCAGCAGACGCGGUUAUACGAACUGGGCAAACGUUUAAUAAAUUAAUAGGUAUUAAGGAUCCGUAGGCGGUUUCUAAUAAAGAAACUAGAAUCUAAUAGAGGAUAGUGGAAUGCUAGGAGGAGGGAUGAUAUCCAUUGAUAUCUAGCGGAACACUAAAGGCGAAGGCAACUAUCCAGCUAAAGAUUGACGCUGAGGGAUGAAAGUCUGGGGAGCAAAACAGAUUAGAUACCUGUGUAGUCCAGACCGUAAACUAUUUACAUUUCUUAUUUGGUAAUUUUUUCUUUAUUUAUAAUGCCAGAUAAUAAGCAAACCGCUGUAUGUGUAACACCUUGUAAGUACAGUCCCAGGACCGAAAGCAAAAAGAUUAGACCGUCCUAAAGACCCGGAGUGGAGCAUGUUGUUUAAUACGAUAAUCCGCGUAGAACCUUACCUCUCCUUGAAUGACUUAUUAAAAUACUACUUAUUGAUAAAAUAAGAUAGUAUUACAGUAAGAUCACAGGCGUUGCAUGGCUAUCGUCAGUUCGUGUCGUGAGACGUCAGGUUGAGUCCGCCAACGAACGCAAUCCCUAUCCUAAGUUGUACAUUUUAGGAUUUGCAUUCAAUAAGAAGCAUUUUUUUGGGACUAUGAUAAGCCUUCAUGACCCUUAUGGAGUAUGGGCUACAGACGUGCUACUUGAACCUAACAAACUGAUGCAAUACCGUGAGGUGGAGCUAACCAGUAAAAUAUGGUGAUAUAAGGAUCGUAGUCUGAAAUUCGACUGCGUGAAUCAGGAAUUCCGAGUAAUCGUUGAUAAGUACGCAACGGUGAACUUUUACAUUUAGGAGAUACUAACCGUCUAUCAAGUGUUGGUCGUUCAUCAAGCUAUGAACUAGUGUCCAAUUAUCUUCUUUUCAGAUAAAAGAGUAAGUUAUCUAGAAAACAAUAGUAAUAUUCUUUAUUAGAUAACCCGCUCUAGGCAUCUUGAAUAGUUUAUGAUUAAGACACAUGGAGUAGCUUACAACUCCUAACGCUAAGUUAUAGCAAGGUAGCCGUAAGGGAACUUGUGGCUGAUUGAUACUAUAC